rnacentral:lncRNA from 1 species
GGUUGUUUCAGAACGCUAGGAACAUGUAUUGGUUUUGGUGGAGUUGCCCGCAAUGCAUUGUGAUUGUCUCACCAUGGCCACAGGGUGAAAUAAUAUUGAGCAUUGGUAUUUGGUCAUUUGGAACUUUGGAACUGAUCACAAUGCGUUGUUUUUGUUUCAGUCAUUGUGCGAUUUCAGUGUUUGGCUGUACCACACACAUGCACACAGAUAUAUAUUUAUUUAGUAUGAGAUUAUAAAGAUAAUUUUUCCAAUUUUUUUUUAUAAAAGUCAAAUUUAUAUAGGAAAGAGCUGUUAUAAAAGUUUGAAAGAGCUUCUGAAUUGAAAUUGAAUACUCAAAUUAUUUUAUGUAAUGUAUAAUAACUAGAAAAAUAUCAUGC